UACGGGGGGAGCAAGCGUUGUUCGGAUUUCCUGGGCGUAAAGGGCGCGUAGGCGGCCACCGCAAGUCAGUUGUGAAAUCUCUGGGCUUAACCCAGAACGGUCAGCUGAUACUGCGGGGCUAGAGUGCAGAAGGGGCAACUGGAAUUCUCGGUGUAGCGGUGAAAUGCGUAGAUAUCGAGAGGAACACCUGCGGCGAAGGCGGGUUGCUGGGCUGACACUGACGCUGACAGCGCGAAAGCUAGGGGAGCGAACGGG
rnacentral:rRNA from 1 species